rnacentral:rRNA from 1 species
GACGAACGCUGGCGGCGUGCCUAAUACAUGCAAGUCGAGCGGAAGUUGAAGAGCUUGCUCUUCAACUUUAGCGGCGGACGGGUGAGUAACACGUGGGAAACCUGCCCUGCAGAUCGGGAUAACUCCGGGAAACCGGUGCUAAUACCGAAUAAUUUUCGCCACCUCCUGGUGGCGUACGGAAAGACGGUUUCGGCUGUCACUGCAGGAUGGGCCCGCGGCGCAUUAGCUAGUUGGUGGGGUAACGGCCCACCAAGGCAACGAUGCGUAGCCGACCUGAGAGGGUGAUCGGCCACACUGGGACUGAGACACGGCCCAGACUCCUACGGGAGGCAGCAGUAGGGAAUCUUCCGCAAUGGACGAAAGUCUGACGGAGCAACGCCGCGUGAGUGACGAAGGUUUUCGGAUCGUAAAACUCUGUUGUGAGGGAAGAACAAGUACCACUUAACUACUGGUACCUUGACGGUACCUCACCAGAAAGCCACGGCUAACUACGUGCCAGCAGCCGCGGUAAAAC